rnacentral:lncRNA from 1 species
UUAGACUUUUUUCAAAACCUACUUUAAUUAGGGUUCUUGAAAGCUUCAACAUCCUUCUAGUCCAACUACCAAGGUAGGGAAAAGAAAGGCUAAUAGGAAUUGAGGGUUAUGGAAGGGUUUAGAAGUAGUUCUUUAGGAAGAUUGGGAUAUCUCUGUGUCAGGAUAUUAGCAGUCCAGUCUAAGACAGCAGACAUGAGUCAGUAGCAGCAGUCCAGUCCAAUGGGCAAACAUCAAACAGGAAUCAGUAGCAGCAGUAGAUCCAGAAGAAACUGAGAGGCGCCACAGAUCAGCAGGAGUCAGCAGAAGUGGCAAGAAGCCACCUGGAUGUCCCAGGAAGUUCUUUGGCAAGCUAGUCCCUAUGGAGUCAAGACAAGCGAAGAUCAGCGACUCAGUGCAAGGCGACCCAAUGCAAGAGCCUUGUCACACUGUCUGUGGAGUAUGUUUAUAUUCUUUCCAACCAUCACACAUCCUUUCCCCUGUCUGCUUCAGAAAGACCUUCUCUCAGCUGUCUCUGCUUCAGCAAAAACAUAUGACGUAACUAAGUCCCCAAAGAAACCAGAAAUUUCCACUUCAAUGUACCUUCUGCAAAAAAAAAAAGGGGGGGGGUGUCAAUUCUUCUCUGGAUUUUGCUACAACAAAAUAAUCUGAAUUACAUGUUGGAC